rnacentral:rRNA from 1 species
GUGAGGAAUUUUCCGCAAUGGGCGAAAGCCUGACGGAGCAAUGCCGCGUGAAGGAUGAAGGCCUAUGGGUUGUAAACUUCUUUUCUCAGAAAAGAAUUAUGACGGUAUCUGAGGAAUAAGCAUCUGCUAACUCUGUGCCAGCAGCCGCGGUAAGACAGAGGAUGCAAGCGUUAUCCGGAAUGAUUGGGCGUAAAGCGUCUGUAGGUUGUUUAAAAAGUAUUCUGUCAAAGAUUAGGGCUUAACCCUAGAUAGGCAGAAUAAACUUUUAAGCUAGAGUUUGGUAGAGGCAGAGGGAAUUCCCGGUGGAGCGGUGAAAUGCGUAGAUAGCGGGAGGAACACCAAAGGCGAAGGCACUCUGCUGGGCCAAUACUAACACUGAGAGACGAAAGCGAGGGGAGCAAAUGGGAUUAGAUACCCUAGUAGUCC